rnacentral:rRNA from 1 species
AAACCUAACCCUUUCAAAGUGGGGAAUAACUCGCAGAAAUGCGAGCUAAUACCGCAUGUGGUUGCAGAGUGGCAUCACUUUGCACCUAAAGAUUUAUCGCUUGGAGACGGCCUCGCGGCCUAUUAGCUAGUUGGUGGGGUAAUGGCCUACCAAGGCGAUGAUGGGUAGCUGGUCUGAGAGGACGAUCAGCCACACUGGGACUGAGACACGGCCCAG